GCCACCGUAGUCCAGCGGUGAAAUCCCUGCUUUCCAAAAUAAAACGGAAGCAGGUGCCGGGGGGGGAUCAAUCCUCCCGGUGGCA